GUGCCGCAUUUGUUUGAAAAGGCAAUCCGAAAACCGUGUAAAAUUCGAUGCUGACAGCGAAUGGUCAAAAUUAUUUUAUUUUUGCACCGAUAUAUCAGUUCCCAACAUUGGUGACAAAGCUCCGAAAAUAUUUUGCGGUGAAUGUGCUACAUUAUUAAAACAAUAUGCAGAAUUUAAAAAGCUCAGUCGAAAACAUGAUGCAUUAUGGAAAAAACUCGCCAUAAACUUGAAAAAACAGAGAAAAGCUAGAGGUAUGCCAAAACAGCAUGGAAGGUAUGCUUAUAAUUACUAAGCGGAAAACUCAAAAUCCUAAAAGGGCAUUACCAAUAGGCAAAAAGAAAAGGAACUUUGUUGCAAUAAUAUUAAAGAAACAUCUUCAAUGUCACCAAGGAUCAUUGUAAUGUGUAUUAAAAUACUGAUUUUAAACAUCUGAGACGCCAUCCAUAAUUUGAAUUGUGUUACAAAUUUUACUGGUUAAUAGGAGUGAGAAAACUUGAUCAGAAGACUGUAGCUAAUGCUGUUGACCUGUGUUAGAAAUAGAAAACAAAUUUAUGGAGCAAGUCAAUAGAAGCACUAGAAGUGAGAUUUAUUAGAAAUACUGGUGGCUUUUUAUUGUCCAAUUCAU